AACAAGGCGUACCUGCGGACCUGCGGAGGGAUCAUUACAGAGUUGCAAAACUCCCACAAACCAUCGCGAAUCUUACCCGUACGGUUGCCUCGGCGCUGGCGGUCCGGAAGGCCCUCGGGCCCCCGGACCCUCGGGUCCCCCGCUCGCGGGGGGCUGCCCGCCGGAGUGCCGAAACCAAACUCUUGAUAUUUUAUGUCUCUCUGAGUAAACUUUUAAAUAAGUCAAAACUUUCAACAAUGG
rnacentral:misc_RNA from 1 species